UACGUAGGGUGCAAGCGUUGUCCGGAAUUAUUGGGCGUAAAGAGCUCGUAGGCGGCUUGUCGCGUCGGCUGUGAAAACUCGGGGCUCAACCCCGAGCCUGCAGUCGAUACGGGCAGGCUAGAGUCCGGCAGGGGAGACUGGAAUUCAUGGUGUAGCGGUGAAAUGCGCAGAUAUCAGGAGGAACACCGGUGGCGAAGGCGGGUCUCUGGGCCGCUACUGACGCUGAGAAGCGAAAGCAUGGGGAGCGAACAGG
rnacentral:rRNA from 1 species